rnacentral:rRNA from 1 species
GAUGAACGCUGGCGGCGUGCCUAAUACAUGCAAGUCGAGCGAACAGACGAGGAGCUUGCUCCUCUGACGUUAGCGGCGGACGGGUGAGUAACACGUGGAUAACCUACCUAUAAGACUGGGAUAACUUCGGGAAACCGGAGCUAAUACCGGAUAAUAUAUUGAACCGCAUGGUUCAAUAGUGAAAGACGGUUUUGCUGUCACUUAUAGAUGGAUCCGCGCCGCAUUAGCUAGUUGGUAAGGUAACGGCUUACCAAGGCAACGAUGCGUAGCCGACCUGAGAGUGUGAUCGGCCACACUGGAACUGAGACACGGUCCAGACUCCUACGGGAGGCAGCAGUAGGGAAUCUUCCGCCAUGGGCGAAAGCCUGACGGAGCAACGACGCGUGAGUGAUGAAGGUCUUCGGAUCGUAAACCUCUGUUAUUAGGGAAGAACAAAUUUGUAAGUAACUAGGCACGUCUUGACGGUACCUAAUCAGAAAGCCACGGCUAACUACGUG